UACGUAGGGGGCAAGCGUUGUCCGGAAUCAUUGGGCGUAAAGCGCGCGUAGGCGGCCCGGUAGGUCCGCUGUAAAAGUCCAGGGCUCAACCCUGGAAAGCCGGUGGAUACUGUCGGGCUAGAGUCCGGAAGAGGCGAGUGGAAUUCCUGGUGUAGCGGUGGAAUGCGCAGAUAUCAGGAGGAACACCGAUGGCGAAGGCAGCUCGCUGGGACGGUACUGACGCUGAGGAGCGAAAGCGUGGGGAGCGAACAGG
rnacentral:rRNA from 1 species